rnacentral:tRNA from 1 species
GGCGAGGUAGCUCAGCUGGUUAGAGCACAGGAUUCAUAACCCUGAGGUCUCGGGUUCGAGUCCCGAUUUCGCUACAAAAG